rnacentral:rRNA from 1 species
UCUUACCCAUUGGUCCUUAAAACAAAAUCAAUUUGAUAAUUUUAGAAAAAUCUAAAGCUGGGUACCCAGAAGACGGCUAAGGGCGCGCGGAGUAGGCAAGCGUGUCCGAUUUGGGGUAAAGGUGCAGGCGUUUUAGUUGAUGUGAAAGCCCCGGCUCAACCGGGGAGGGUCAUUGGAAACUGGGAACUUAGUGCAGAAGAGGAGAGUGGAAUUCNCGUGAGCGGUGAAAUGCGUAGAGAUGUGGAGGAACACCAGUGCAGGGACUCUUGUCUGUACUGACGCUGAGGAGCGAAAGCGUGGGGAGGAACAGGAUUAGAUACCCUGGUACCACGCCGUAAACGAUGAGUUAAGUGUUAGGGGGUUUCGCCCCUUAGUGUGCAGUAACGCAUUAAGCACUCCGCUGGGGAGUGGUCGCAAGAUGAACUCAAAGGAAUUGACGGGGGCCCGCACAAGCGGUGGAGCAUGUGGUUUAAUUGAAGCAACGGAAGAACCUUACCAGGUCUUGACAUCCUUGACAAUCCUAGAGAUAGGAUGUCCCCUUCGGGGGCAGAGUGACAGGUGGUGCAUGGUUGUGUCAGCUCGUGUGUGAGAUGUUGGGUUAAGUCCCGCAACGAGGCAACCCUUGAUUUAGUUGCCAGCAUUCAGUUGGGCAUUAAGGUGACUGCCGGUGACAAACCGGAGGAAGGUGGGGAUGACGUCAAAUCAUCAUGCCCCUUAUGACCUGGGUACACACGUGUACAAUGGACAGAACAAAGGGCAGCGAAACCGCGAGGUUAAGCCAAUCCCACAAAUCUGUUUCAGUUCGGAUGCAGUCUGCAACUGACUGCGUGAAGCUGGAAUCGUAGUAAUCGCGGAUCAGCAUGCCGCGGUGAAUACGUUCCGGGCCUUGUACACACCGCCCGUCACACCACGAGAGUUUGUAACACCCGAAGUCGGGAGGUAACCUUUUAGGAGCCAGCCGCAAGGUGGACAGAAUGGGGAAGUCGUAACAAGGGCUCG